AGAGUUUGAUCCUGGCUCAGGACGAACGCUGGCGGCGGGCUUAACACAUGCAAGUCGAACGAGGUCCAUUCUGUAGCAAUACAGAGGAAGACCUAGUGGCGAACGGGUGAGGAACACGUGAGGAACCUGCCCCGAACUUUGGGAUAACAGUUGGAAACGACUGCUAAUACCGAAUGCCGUUACGAAGUGGCAUCACUUUGUAACGAAAGAAUUUCGGUUCGGGAGGGCCUCGCGGCCUAUCAGCUAGUUGGUGGGGUAAUGGCCUACCAAGGCAUCGACGGGUAGCUGGUCUGAGAGGAUGAUCAGCCACACUGGGACUGAGACACGGCCCAGACUCCUACGGGAGGCAGCAGUGGGGAAUCUUAUGCAAUGGGCGAAAGCCUGACACAGCCACGCCGCGUGCGGGAAGAUGGCCUUCGGGUUGUAAACCGCUUUCAGCAGGAACGAAAAUGACGGUACCUGCAGAAGAAGAUGCGGCCAACUACGUGCCAGCAGCCGCGGUGAUACGUAGGCAUCAAGCGUUGUCCGGAUUUAUUGGGCGUAAAGAGCUCGUAGCGGUUCAGCAAGUCGGGUGUGAAAACUCUGGGCUUAACCCAGAGCCUGCACUCGAAACUGCUG
rnacentral:rRNA from 1 species